rnacentral:rRNA from 1 species
UACGUAGGUGGCGAGCGUUGUCCGGAAUUACUGGGUGUAAAGGGCGUGUAGGCGGGACUGCAAGUCAGAUGUGAAAUACCGGGGCUCAACCCCGGGGCUGCAUUUGAAACUGUAGUUCUUGAGUGCAGGAGAGGAAAGCGGAAUUCCUAGUGUAGCGGUGAAAUGCGUAGAUAUUAGGAGGAACACCAGUGGCGAAGGCGGCUUUCUGGACUGUAACUGACGCUGAGGCGCGAAAGCGUGGGGAGCGAACAGGAUUAGAUACCCUGGUAGUCCACGCCGUAAACGAUGGAUACUAGGUGUAGGAGGUAUCGACCCCUUCUGUGCCGGAGUUAACACAAUAAGUAUCCCACCUGGGGAGUACGGCCGCAAGGUUGAA